rnacentral:rRNA from 1 species
AUGUUCAUUCAGGUUUUUGAUUGCCGUCUCCAUGGCUGCUCUCGAGACUUAAGUGAUAAGCAACCCUAUGGGUUUGAGCUCCACGGAAACAAGAGUCCAUGUGGUGACCAAUGCUACCUUCGAAGAAGAGAAGGAUUUCAAGACAUACGCAAACAUGAUUAUGCUUCUUCUGCAACACAUAAUAUGGAGUCAAGAUCCACCUUACACAAAGUUGGUACUGAUAUGGUAUCUGAAUCAGAAGAUUCAAACCGAGAGGAAGAAAUCAUUAAAUCAAGUAUAUCUCUUGGAACUAGCAGAUCAAAAAUAUCUUUUGAAAGUGUUGAAAAACAUACUACACUGCCUUCUGGGGAUGCUUUUGAAACUGAAAAUGUAUCCGCUUUUGUUCACCUCCGCCACUCGAGGCCAUUCACCACCGCCACCAGUUCCCAUUCAACACUGCCCACACAAUCUUGCGUGUCAACGACGUCCCUGUCUACCCCAUGUGAAGCUUCAAUAGAGUUCAAGACAGAUUAUCAUCUAUCCAAUACAGAAGGAAAAUGGAGUUGGGAGUGGAUGACCUCGAGAUUGUCCAGCCCACCUUCGUUGUGCUUCUCCAGUGCCUUCAUAAUUGUGUGUCGCACAAUACAUGUAUUACUACUGGGAAUGUUCAGAAAUCAGAACUCAAAGAAGUAUUGA